GUGGCCGCAGACGACAGACAUUUGGCAAAGUUAUGAAAUUUCGUGAAAAUUUUUUGUCCUUAAAACACAGUUUUUGUUGCUUGAAUUCGGCCAUUUACAACGAUUUUCCGCGAGCUUCUCCCCUCUUCAUUUUCCUCGGCCAUCAUGUACAUCAUGUACAUCUUGUACAUCAUGAAGGGCAAAAAUGGCUGCCAUGAAAUGGCCCAUCUCAUUCGAGGAGUAAACAGUGAGGGAAUUUUACAGAACACAAUGAUUCAUCAAUGAAACAACCAACUGUGGUGUUUGUCUUAAAGGGCAGUUGCAGAGGAAGCUUUGCCCGGAGGAAGAUCCCAGCCAAGGUUGCAGCAACUAAGCCAAGAAAUACUUAGGGAAUCGCUUUCUGGAAAUACUAGAAUUUCCAGAAUUUCCAGUGUGAUGGUUUCAAGAAAGAUGAGAUGGAGGAAUGCAGCAUAGAAACAUGGGAGUCUCUGUUGUAACUGUCUAUACUUGGUUGCACCGAUUCUGAAGAGGGAGGCCAAGAAAGAUGAGAUGGAGGAAUGCAUCAUAGAAACAUGGGAGUCUCUGUCGUAACUGUCUAUACUUGGUUGCACCGAUUCUGAAGAGGGAGGCCAAGAAAGAUGAGAUGGAGGAAUGCAUCAUAGAAACAUGGGAGUCUCUGUCGUAACUGUCUAUACUUGGUUGCACCGAUUCUGAAGAGGGAGGCCAAGAAAGAUGAGAUGGAGGAAUGCAGCAUAGAAACAUGGGAGUCUCUGUCGUAACUGUCUAUACUUGGUUGCACCGAUUCUGAAGAGGGAGGCACUGCUGAAGGCGCAAAUAUUUAUGCGCCUCCACCUGAUGAUCCAGACUGGACAAUUGUACAGGUCGUACUGGUAAACAAGCUAAGAACAGUCCACCUCCUUAGGGUUGGAGCGGCAUCGGUCAUACCACUACCAACGUCUCAAUGGAAUUGGUUGACCGCAUUCUGACUGGAGACAAGGAUGGAGGAAUCUACGAUGUCAUUGCAAGAACAAGCAAUCAAAGGAUAUAAGCACCUCCUCUAGAAAAAACGAGGUAAUUGAAGCUGCUGGAGGACCAUGACAUGACUUCCCUGUCGUAAACAAGCUGGGCAUGGACUAGGAUCACAUCAGCCAAGAGUUACAAGUCUAAAUUUCUGUGGAUUUCGACAACUGUGGAUUUCAUUGGGAUCGGCUCAUCACGAUAGGACCCCUACCAUUCUUACUGGAAAAGGCAUCAUCUAUGGUUGAUGAUUGACGGUGUCUCCAGUUUCUUUGCUUGAACCAGCCGGAGCCGGAAAAUUCAAGGUGUGGUGUGGAUAGCAUAAUCCCAAUAGAUGUCCAGAACUGGAAUUUGAUGAAAUCGUUUGCAAUGUCCUCCAUGGCUCAUAAUGGACCAUUUCAUUGUUAAAUGUCUUUUAGUGACUCUCGUUGGUUGACCAGUAAUUAUGUGCAGACUUUUGCUUUGAACUGAAGCAAUAUCACUGCUACACUUGCGAAGCAGUGGCAGUGUUCAGGUCUUGCCUGCCUCGAUGACAUAUCUGCAUACCAGUAAAUAUGUGCAGACUUGGCUCUUUUUUUUGGAGCAGUACAGUUGCAAGAUAAAUCCUGUUUGUAAUUUUAUGAAUUAGUUGCUCAUUAAGGGCUUACGAAGGUUUUGAUGCCUUGCUGGCUUAUCUGCAUACCAGUAAAUAUGUGGAGAUUCAUUUCUUGCUUUGAAGCAAUAUCGUUGCUACACUCCUAAAGCAGUGGCAAUGUUCAGGUCUGUUCUGCCUUGCGGGCAAAUCUGCAUACGAGUAAUUAUGUGCAGACUUGGCUCUUCCAGAGAUUGUAGGACUGGGUCCAUUGAAUGUAACAAAAAUAAUAGUCGAUGCCUAUUUACAAAUGAAAUGAAGAGUCUGCAUUUUGAUGCAACUCCAUGUAACUGUCGGGUGAUUUUGCUCUGAACUUGUGACACUCUGAUCGGUCUGAAAUAAUCAUUAUCCCGCCCCUCUGGGAAAAAUUUGCAGCCUGAUUGCACCAUUGCCUGUUACUGUCUGAGAGAUGGCAAUGUCAGGGGUUCAUGACGGUGGUUAAACCUAUUGCGAAUGGGCAGCACAAUUGGGUGUAGGAUAUUCAUAAACCAUUGCACACUCCUGAAUCUGCGGUGGGUUGGUACCCCACGCUAUGUAAGGAGUAGGUUUGUGGGUAAAACUUGGUCCACGUGAAUGGGUCGUGCCUUAAAAAUGAUGAGAAGUUGCGAAUUGACGCCCUGUGAAGUGUCCUUCGACCAGCUAGUGCUAAUCCGGUCACUGUCUCCAGGUCACCAUGCCUCGGUCAAUGAGCGGGCGAAGCACCCAAUGGCUCCGUCAGGAGUACAUCGUCAACUUCAGCCCGUAGACAAACCGGUACGCGCACAAAUAUCUUAGCUGAGAGUGGGGGACAUCAGUAAAGUGCUUCUCAUCGGGGUAAUACAGUACCACUGUAUACAAUGACCCCAUUUUUUGUUGGAUUCAUUUCCGCUGAGGGGUGGUCGAUAAUGAGAGUUUUGGGCCAGUCUGAUUGUCACCAGUCCAGAGGGAAAAUACCUGAUAGUUAUGUGGCUUUCCCUCAAACUGUAUACUCUUUCAUGUCAAUUGUAAAUUAGUGUUGCUCAGUAGUGUUCAGGGUCUUUUUGUCGAACACUGGCACAUCUGCAUACCAGUAAUUAUGUGCAGACUUAAGUUUUGCUUUGAAGCAAUAUCACUGCUACACUUGUGAAGCAGUGGCAGUGUUCAGGUCUUGCCUGCCUCGAUGACAUAUCUGCAUACCAGUAAUUAUGUGCAGACUUGGCUCUUUUUUUUUGAGCAGUACAGUUACAAGAUAAAUCCUGUUUGUAAUUUUAUGAAUUAGUUGCUCAUUGAGGGCUUACGAAGGUUUUGAUGCCUUGCUGGCUUAUCUGCAUACCAGUAAAUAUGUGCAGAUUCAUUUCUUGCUUUGAAGCAAUAUCGUUGCUACACUUCUAAAGCAGUGGCAAUGUUCAGGUCUGUUCUGCCUUGCGGGCAAAUCUGCAUACGAGUAAUUAUGUGCAGACUUGGCUCUUCCAGAGAUUGUAGGACUGGGUCCAUUGAAUGUAACAAAAAUAAUAGUCGAUGCCUAUUUACAAAUGAAAUGAAGAGUCUGCAUUUUGAUGCAACUCCAUGUAACUGUCGGGUGAUUUCGCUCUGAACUUGUGACACUCUGAUCGGUCUGAAAUAAUCAUUAUCCUGCCCCUCUGGGAAAAAUUUGCAGCCUGAUUGCACCAUUGCCUGUUACUGUCUGAGAGAUGGCAAUGUCAGGGGUUCAUGACGGUGGUUAAACCUAUUGCGAAUGGGCAGCACAAUUGGGUGUAGGAUAUUCAUAAACCAUUGCACACUCCUGAAUCUGCGGUGGGUUGGUACCCCACGCUAUGUAAGGAGUAGGUUUGUGGGUAAAACUUGGUCCACGUGAAUGGGUCGUGCCUUAAAAAUGAUGAGAAGUUGCGAAUUGACGCCCUGUGAAGUGUCCUUCGACCAGCUAGUGCUAAUCCGGUCACUGUCUCCAGGUCACCAUGCCUCGGUCAAUGAGCGGGCGAAGCACCCAAUGGCUCCGUCAGGAGUACAUCGUCAACUUCAGCCCGUAGACAAACCGGUACGCGCACAAAUAUCUUAGCUGAGAGUGGGGGACAUCAGUAAAGUGCUUCUCAUCGGGGUAAUACAGUACCACUGUAUACAAUGACCCCAUUUUUUGUUGGAUUCAUUUCCGCUGAGGAGUGGUCGAUAAUGAGAGUUUCGGGCCAGUCUGAUUGUCACCAGUCCAGAGGGAAAAUACCUGAUAGUUAUGUGGCUUUCCCUCAAACUGUAUACUCUUUCAUGUCAAUUGUAAAUUAGUGUUGCUCAGUAGUGUUCAGGGUCUUUUUGUCGAACACUGGCACAUCUGCAUACCAGUAAUUAUGUGCAGACUUAAGUUUUGCUUUGAAGCAAUAUCACUGCUACACUUGUGAAGCAGUGGCAGUGUUCAGGUCUUGCCUGCCUCGAUGACAUAUCUGCAUACCAGUAAUUAUGUGCAGACUUGGCUCUUUUUUUUUGAGCAGUACAGUUACAAGAUAAAUCCUGUUUGUAAUUUUAUGAAUUAGUUGCUCAUUGAGGGCUUACGAAGGUUUUGAUGCCUUGCUGGCUUAUCUGCAUACCAGUAAAUAUGUGCAGAUUCAUUUCUUGCUUUGAAGCAAUAUCGUUGCUACACUCCUAAAGCAGUGGCAAUGUUCAGGUCUGUUCUGCCUUGCGGGCAAAUCUGCAUACGAGUAAUUAUGUGCAGACUUGGCUCUUCCAGAGAUUGUAGGACUGGGUCCAUUGAAUGUAACAAAAAUAAUAGUCGAUGCCUAUUUACAAAUGAAAUGAAGAGUCUGCAUUUUGAUGCAACUCCAUGUAACUGUCGGGUGAUUUCGCUCUGAACUUGUGACACUCUGAUCGGUCUGAAAUAAUCAUUAUCCCGCCCCUCUGGGAAAAAUUUGCAGCCUGAUUGCACCAUUGCCUGUUACUGUCUGAGAGAUGGCAAUGUCAGGGGUUCAUGACGGUGGUUAAACCUAUUGCGAAUGGGCAGCACAAUUGGGUGUAGGAUAUUCAUAAACCAUUGCACACUCCUGAAUCUGCGGUGGGUUGGUACCCCACGCUAUGUAAGGAGUAGGUUUGUGGGUAAAACUUGGUCCACGUGAAUGGGUCGUGCCUUAAAAAUGAUGAGAAGUUGCGAAUUGACGCCCUGUGAAGUGUCCUUCGACCAGCUAGUGCUAAUCCGGUCACUGUCUCCAGGUCACCAUGCCUCGGUCAAUGAGCGGGCGAAGCACCCAAUGGCUCCGUCAGGAGUACAUCGUCAACUUCAGCCCGUAGACAAACCGGUACGCGCACAAAUAUCUUAGCUGAGAGUGGGGGACAUCAGUAAAGUGCUUCUCAUCGGGGUAAUACAGUACCACUGUAUACAAUGACCCCAUUUUUUGUUGGAUUCAUUUCCGCUGAGGAGUGGUCGAUAAUGAGAGUUUCGGGCCAGUCUGAUUGUCACCAGUCCAGAGGGAAAAUACCUGAUAGU